CGCCAGGUAGAGAAUACUAAGGCGAGCGAGUGAAUCGUGGUUAAGGAACUCGGCAAAAUGCCCCCGUAACUUUGGGAGAAGGGGGACCCAAACCCUGAAACCUCUUGCAGGUUAGGGGUGAGGGUCGCAGAGUCUAGAGAGAAGCGACUGUUUAUCAAAAACACAGGUCCGUGCGAAGCUGUAAGGCGAUGUAUACGGACUGACGCCUGCCCGGUGCUGGAAGGUUAAGCGGACUGGUCAGCCCACCUUGUGUGGGUGAAGCUGGGAAGUUAAGCCCCAGUAAACGGCGGUGGUAACUAUAACCAUCCUAAGGUAGCGAAAUUCCUUGUCGGGUAAGUUCCGACCUGCACGAAUGGCGUAACGACUCCUCUACUGUCUCGACCACGAACUCGGUGAAAUUGCAUUACGAGUAAAGAUGCUCGUUACGCGCAGCAGGACGGAAAGACCCCGGGACCUUUACUAUAGCUUGGUAUUGGUGUUCGGUACGGUUUGUGUAGGAUAGGUGGGAGACGGUGAAGCAUUCACGCUAGUGGGUGUGGAGUCAUUGGUGAAAUACCACUCUGACCGUGCUGGGCAUCUAACCUUGGCCCGUGAUCCGGGUUAGGGACAGUGCCUGGUGGGUAGUUUAACUGGGGCGGUUGCCUCCUAAAGAGUAACGGAGGCGCUCAAAGGUUCCCUCAGCCUGGUUGGUCAUCAGGUGGUGAGUGUAAGUACACAAGGGAGCUUGACUGCGAGACUGACAGGUCGAGCAGGGACGAAAGUCGGACCUAGUGAUCCGGCGGUGGCUUGUGGAAGCGCCGUCGCUCAACGGAUAAAAGGUACCCCGGGGAUAACAGGCUGAUCCUGCCCAAGAGUUCAUAUCGACGGCAUGGUUUGGCAUCUCGAUGUCGGCUCGUCGCAUCCUGGGGCUGGAGUAGGUCCCAAGGGUUGGGCUGUUCGCCCAUUAAAGCGGUACGCGAGCUGGGUUCAGAACGUCGUGAGACAGUUCGGUCCCUAUCCGCUGCGUGCGUUGGAGAAUUGAGAAGGGCUGUCCCUAGUACGAGAGGACCGGGACGGACGAACCACUGGUGUGCCAGUUGUUCCGCCAGGAGCAUGGCUGGUUGGCUACGUUCGGGAAGGAUAACCGCUGAAAGCAUCUAAGCGGGAAGCCUGCUUCAAGAUAAGUUCUCCAUCAACCAUUGUGUUGUGUAGGCCCCCUAAAGAACAUGGGGUUGAUAGGCCAGUCGUGGACACCUCGUAAGAGGCGUAGCUGACUGGUACUAAUGAGCCAACAACCUG
rnacentral:rRNA from 1 species